rnacentral:rRNA from 1 species
GACGAACGCUGGCGGCGUGCUUAACACAUGCAAGUCGAACGGAAAGUCCCUGCUCUUGUGGGGUGCGCGAGUGGCGCACGUGUGAGUAACACGUGAGUAACCUGACCUUGACUUUGGGAUAAUUUCAGUAAACUGGGGCUAAUACCGCAUAGGAGCUCCUGCUGCAUGGUGGGGGUUGGAAAGUGUCGGCGGUUGGGGAUGGACUCGCGGCUUAUCAGCUGGUUGGUGGGGUAGUGGCUUACCAAGUCUUUGACGGGUAGCUGGCCUGAGAGGGUGACCGGCCACAUUGGGGCUGAGAUGCGGCGCAGAAUACUACGGGAGGCAGCAGUGGGGAAUAUUGCACCAUGGGCGGAAGCAUGAUGCCGCAACGCCGCGUGCGGGAUGACGGACUUCGGGUUGUAAACCGCUUUCGCCUGUGACGAAGAGUGAGUGACGGUAAUGGGUAAAGAAGCACCGGCUAACUACGUG